rnacentral:pre_miRNA from 1 species
GGCCCAAAUAUAAAGUAGAGUAGAUUAGUAAGAUCGGUUGACUAUGCUAAACUACCCUCAUUCAAGUUUGUGCCC